rnacentral:rRNA from 1 species
UAACUUGAGAGUUUGAUCCUGGCUCAGGACGAACGCUGGCGGCAUGCCUAACACAUGCAAGUCGAACGAGAAAGCUUCUUCGGAAGUUAUUAAAGUGGCGCACGGGUGAGUAACGCGUAGACAAUCUGCCCUUCAGUCCGGGACAACUUUCCGA